rnacentral:snRNA from 1 species
GUCCCUAACCGGCACAUUGCCAUCCACUGGAAUGAUGCAGAGAUUAGCAUGGCCUCUGCACAAGGAUGACACUUUUAUUUAACUUUGCAAAAAAAAAAAAU